rnacentral:rRNA from 1 species
AGUCGACGCGAACAGAACAACUAAUUCGUUAGAAGUUCUUAGUAGAGUGGCGAACGGGUGAGUAACACGUGGAUAACAUACCUUUCAGUGGGGAAUAACAUCGGGAAACUGAUGCUAAUACCGCAGAUGUCAUUUCAUUGAUUUUGAUUUGACUAAAGGGGGGGCUCCUUAGGGACCUCUCGCUGAUUGAUUGGUCCGCGGCCCAUUAGCUUGUUGGUGGGGUAAUGGCCUACCAAGGCUGCGAUGGGUAGCCGGCCUGAGAGGGUGUCCGGCCACACUGGGAUUGAGAUACGGCCCAGACUCCUUCGGGAGGCAGCAGUCGAGAAUCUUCCACAAUGUACGAAAGUAUGAUGGAGCGACGCCGCGUGUGUGAUGAAGGCUUUAUGAGUUGUAAAGCACUGUCAGAGGGGAAGAACAAGCGUAUAAAUAAUAAGUAUACGCUCUGACGUACCCUCAGAGGAAGCUCCGGCUAACUCCGUGCCAGCAGCCGCGGUAAUACGGAGGGAGCAAGCGUUGUCCGGAAUCAUUGGGCGUAAAGGGCACGUAGGCGGCUCGGUAAGUCGAAUGUGAAAUCCUCUGCCUUAACUGUGAAACUGCGUUCGAAACUACCGAACUUG